ensembl:rRNA 5S_rRNA 5S ribosomal RNA
GCUUACGACCACACCGGCCUGAGUACGCCUGAUCUCGUCUGAUCUCGGAAGCUAAGCAGGGUCGGGCCUGGUUAGUACUUGAUGGGAGACUUCCUGGGAAUACCAGGUGAUGUAAGCU